rnacentral:lncRNA from 1 species
AUGGAGGACGCACUUAUAGUGGCGGUGUGCGGUCAAUCUGUCCUGUACGACACCACGCUGGUGUCGUACAGGGACAGAAUUAAAAAGGAGCAGGCGUGGGUCGUCGUGGGCCAGGAGACGGGGAUUCCUGUGGACGUAUGUCGCAGGAAAUGGAAGUCCCUCAGGGACAGGUACAUGAGGGAGAAAAGGAGGGAGAAAGAGGAGGGGAAAAGGAGCGGGUCAGCGGCAAGGACAGGGAAGAAAUGGAAGUUCUUUGCGGUCCUGUCCUUCCUCGACCCCUUUGUCACACCGAGGGAGACCAGCAGCAACCUUCCUCGGUGUGCAGAGAUGGAGGUAGAGAUAGAGGAUGACGGGGCUGCAGAGACUUCAGGGGUAGGAGAAGCAGACGAGGAGCGUGAUGAGGCAGCAGCAGCAGCAGGGCCAUCGCACAAUACAGGUUUGUUGAAGUGAACGUAUACGUAUACAGCUUCUGCAUUAUGGCCACAUUCUGUAUUGAGGAAAGGUUUAUAGUGCUGCACGAUUCUGUCUCCAUCUUUAAUGUGCUGUAAUAUAGAUCACUCGUAUAUCUUCCAAGCCAAAAAAAACCCAAGACUUCUUACUCAAUAACAGAUCAGCUGUCAGGAAAUGAAUCGGACCCUGUCGAUGUUCCUGCUGCUGCUGCUACUGCUGCUACUCCUGCCCCUGCCGCUGGCCCUGUCCCUGCCGCUGGCCCUGGCCCUGCCCCUGCCCCAAGUCCACCGAGCGGUAUGUACAGGACAAAGAUGUAUAGCUUUAAUUUCAGGUGUCAACUAUGUUUAUUGCUAACCGUUUAAGCUUUAACUGAUAUGAAUACUGUUAACGGAUUACUACUAUAAUUGACGCUUCCAACCAACCACACAUGCAGGUUAAACAGGUGUUUUGAUAACUACAAAUUAUGGUGUUUUACAUUUCAUACAGGGAGGAAGAGAGCAAGCGGGGUACCAUGUGGGAACACCCCGAUACAGGAGGCCAUCCUCCAGGCCCUGCAGAGGGAUGGAGAGUUGUGCGCGGACGCAGAGUUUUUAAACGGCCUACUUCCUUCCCUGAAGAGAUUGCCACCAGACGCAAAGGAGUAUGUGAAAUUCCAAAUUCACAAAGUCAUAUUUGACGCCACCCAAUUCACCCUUAAUUUGGAACCCGUCUAAUCAUGCUCCUGCUCAUUAGCAAGAGUGGUGGUGACAAUCUCUCCAGGGAAAGAACUGGGCUGCUGUGACUAAAAAAGAAGCUGUUUGUGAGAAAGAUAGUUAGUUAGGUAAAUCCUUUCUCACAAACAGCUUCUUUUUUAGGAAGAUGUUAAUGUUCUUGUUCUUGUGUUCUGUUUUACAUUUAUAAUAUAUUGUUCUAUGUUGUUUUGUUAGUC